UACAGAGGGGGCAAGCGUUGUUCGGAAUUACUGGGCGUAAAGGGCGCGUAGGCGGCCCGCUAAGUCGAACGUGAAAUCCCCGAGCUCAACUCGGGAACUGCGUCCGAUACUGGGGGGCUUGAAUCCGGGAGAGGGAUGCGGAAUUCCAGGUGUAGCGGUGAAAUGCGUAGAUAUCUGGAGGAACACCGGUGGCGAAGGCGGCAUCCUGGACCGGCAUUGACGCUGAGGCGCGAAAGCUAGGGUAGCGAACGGG
rnacentral:rRNA from 1 species